GAAAAAGGACAUCUGCAUACCGCAGUGUGUCUCAGUCGGUCUGUUGCUACGUGCAUAAAUGACUGAUUUCGGUCUGUGGAGGAGAAGAGGAGGAAGGAAGUUAUGGACACCUAUGGAAGAGGCCUAAAGCAAUUUAGGAGGUAUACGUUUCAAAAAAGUGGAUUCACGGGGAGAAAAGGACUCAGUCAUUAAUUAGUUGUUUGUUUCUCCUAAAAUGCAAUAACCAUUACAAUGCACCUGGAGUGUUUUAGCUUAAUUGCCAAGGCAACCUGUCAGCUCCACAUUCAUGUAUUUUUGGUGUUGCUGUGGAUCUCAAUUGGAAGCAACUCCUUGCGCCAAUAUGUACCGCCAAUUGUAAUGUUUAUUUAUCUGGAGGGAGAGAGUUAUUUUACAAGCAGUAACAAAGAAAGAUAAAUAUGAUCUGAGACUUGAUGAUCAGCAGCAUCUGUUGUUAUUGAGGUCUGAAACGCCAUGAUACAGCCAACGCGACGCCAGGAUAGCAGUGAGCCAGCAGUGACAUCUAGAGGCGGAAGCGGGAACUCAAACCAACGCACUUCCAUCCCAUCGAGUCUCAUAAUACCUCGUCAUGGCUGAACCUUAUCCACGAUGACUCCGGCCAUAUGGAAGGUAGAUAAAGCUCUGGUCGAGGCCAACAGGGGGAAGAUGACAACGGGCUGGUUUUGCCGAGUCAAAGCAUUAAGGGCUGGAGCCAGAGAAAUACCCUUGACACUGCAGGCUCGUCAAAGCACCACGCUGCGCCACCUAAAUGCCAGCACAAUAAGCAAAGAGACAGGCGACGUUUCUCAUCACAGCAGGGGGGCUCGUUGGGGAGCGCCAUCUUGUUUGGCACUUGUCGGAGAAUGGGAGAUGCGGUGUCGGGGAAGAGCCUCACAGCAGUGGGACAAAGCUUUCAUUAAGGCUCAAAUUGAGGGAGAUCACCAGAAGCUCACCGCGUCUGGGGAGCUGUUUAACUCAGGUAACGCAACGGGGAAAAACGAAUGGGCCAAUUGAAAGCUCAUUACGCCGCCGAAAUGUGCACGAGACGGUGAACGCCGUUAGAGACAAACCGGAGUCUCGGGCUUGACAACGCUGAAAUGGUUCUUUUGAAAAGGGUAAAAAAGAAAAGAAAGAGUGCCGCUUUAGUGUCUUGUUUUUGUGUGAUCUUACACUUGUGUUUGAAGGGAAAUGGUUUCAGUUUGGGGACCCGCUUAAUCUGAUUUUAACAAUUUACCACGGGGACCCCUCAUCUGAGCAAUUACCCGUGCCAUACUCUCCCAGCGAGGGGCGGCAUUGUGGAAGGCAAAGUACUGAACCAGGAAAUGAUUGUCAGAGGCUGCAGUUUCCAGCAACUAAGACGCCAUUUCAAUAGGCAUUUAUUAGUAGCUUCAAAUGCCUCCAGGACUUUGGCGCGUGUUUAUCACUGGCCUGCUGGAUUAAUAUUACAUUUCAGCAGGUAGGAACACAUUUCCCACUAGGGGGCAAUAGCCACAGACUUAAAUGGUGAGCUGUGUGAUGCGGGCUAUUGUUGUGGGAUAGAAGCAUACGUGAUUUGUUUUCCAUUGAUAUGGAAGAAAUACUUUCUCAGAUUUAGAAAAAAGUUUUUGGGCGGUUCGUUACCAAUUAUAAAUGAUAUUUUAUGAAACGUCAGGUUAAGAAGCUUAAACUAUGAGAGUGGGUUCCGUAAACCGAGCGUAUCUUGUAAUUUGAUCUUGGGUUAUAUAGUGUAGGCCUAUACUGUGGGGAUAGAUUAUUGAGCUGUGAUAUUCUGGCAGGCAUGGUCUCAUGUUUACGCAUAGGAAUCCUUCAUAAAGAAAGGAGAGCCCUCCUGCUAGGUCCCUCAAACCCUCACACGGCUUUGCUGUUGAAUAAUUGAUGGAGCGGCUGAGGCAGUAAACAUGGAUUCACAGAAGCAGCGGAUUGUAUAAACUUUUUUGCAACAUCCAAAAGUAAAGGUUUCACAUUCAAUUUAGAUGGGAACGGCUGCUGUUUUAAGAUCUUUUGUCGUCUGGCUCCGCAAAACUUGUUGGGAUUCAUCGUGAUACUCUUUCAUACACCGAUGUCAGAGUUAGCCUUCCUUAUCUUGUUACGAUUGAGUACAACAACACUGUGCCCUUCAAUGCUUAUAUGUUUGGCUUCAUGUGUUGAUGGAAUACACGUGAACUGUCCUGUGCUUUGUCGUCGGAGACACCGUUUUGCAGUCAUCUUACAAGAUGUGGAUUUCUGGCAUAAAGGGCUUUUGUGGCAGAAAGCCAUGAAGGCAUAGGCCUACUUCUGAGUUUGACGACUCAAGAAACAUAAAUGCACUUCUCUAUUUGGACCUUGCCGUUUUCUCUCUCGCUAAAGACGACUUUGCAUAUGUUCUUUUGUACACUACAGAAGGACGAAUGAAAUAACGGAUACAUCCACUCAUAAAUCAACAUAAUUGGAGGCUUCAAUCAAAGCAAAUAUUCAUUUUUUAAGGGACUAUGGCAUAUGCUUCAUGGCACUUUAUUUCAGCGGGUGGUAUUUCUACAAGUAGGCUAACGCUUUGGACAACCUGACUUCUGAAUCAAACCAAGACGCUCUUUAACGCUUGAAUCUUUUUUUUUAUCAAAGAAAACGUAUUAAUUUCCCAAUCAAUUAGGUCAAUUAAGUCCGGUCGAAAGAAGAAAGCAAAAUAAACAGAAAGAAAAUCCACUCCCAGGCAGAGUGCUGCGGGAAGUGGAGAGGGGAGAGAACGGCACACGGUGAAAGAGCAGGGAGACAAUCCACUCUGCUGGGUGGACAUGGGGACAGCAUGCGUCGUGUUCCGGCCGGCGGUGCAUCACUUCACCGCUGGUGAUUGCACUCGUACAGAGGCACUCCCCUUCACAUGAGACGCAUUUAAAUCCAAUGAAGCCGGAAAGAUCUGCAGGAAUACUCGACUGGUUUCAUGUAUCACAUGAGCUCGUAUGCAUAUGCAGCUGACGAUGUGAUGGAUAUUAUCUAACAAUUCAAACAAAAUGAGUCUCAGCUAAUCCAGCUAAUUGUGCAUAAAUGACUAAAGUGUACUUAAUCGGCUGAUGUCUGCUAAAUAACGCAUGUUUAAUGUGCAUCUGCGUUUUGAGAAGCAUCAGCCGCUGAUGGGACCCUCAUUGUAAAGAUUAAUAUCCCAAAACCCUGUAAUGCCACACCAUUUGUCCUUGGAACAUUUGCCUAACAAUGUCAUUACAAUUUCCAAGUAUUAUAAAAUGGUAAGAUGGCUUGAUUGCCAAUUAAUAGGAUAGACAGCCCAGCAUUUGUAUGCAUAGUAAAUAUUAAAUUGGUAAAUGGGAAAAUAAAUAGAUGAUUAUAGAUUUAAUGGUUCAUCCAAACAACAUUAUUCCAGUUACUGAUAAGUAUAUGUCAUUUGUAUCAUGUCAUUUAUCAAUUGUGAUGGCUGCAUCUCUUGCCUCAUAUAGGCUGCACAUGGGCUAGUGAUUUGGUUGCAAGCUAAACAUGUCUUUGUAAAAUGUUUGAUCUAUAGGUUCUCUUCUGUGUUUCAUUUACUUUCUAUUGCUUAUUUAAUGUCGUUAUUAAUAUCAUAUUAAUAAUACAUAACCUAUAUAUAUUAUUACUAUUAUAUUAUAAUUUCCAGCACAUUAAUAUUGUUUCAUGAAUUUCAAGUAUUUUUCAUAAUCUACCUGCGACUCAUUGGAGAUUGGUUCAGCACCCCUACAUCAAUGACAGACGAGGUUUCUAAGAAGUCACCUCAUUGCUGCCGUUUGGCAUUCACCCAUCAAAAUUGAUUCGUUUUUCCCGAAAUAAACACAUCAAAGAAGUGUCCAGGCAUAAAACAUUAAAUUGAUUUAAAAUUUUAAUUGAGCGUGAUUAACUGAGAAAAAGCAAACUUGAAUGGCGUGCUAUUUGUCAUUAAAUACUGCCAUCCUGUGGCCAACUUCUGCCAUAAUGUCUUACUUUCUCAAAACUAAACAUAAACUAAUGUUGUAGCAAUAUUGUCCUAAAUAUUGUGUAUUCUGCAUUUCUAAGAGAAACAUCCUACACAUCUAAGUCAAAUUCAGUUGAGGUGUGUAUAUGGGUUUGAGUGAGUGAGUGUGUGAGCGAUUGAGUGAGUGCGGGUGUGUUUGUGCGUGUGCAUGUGCACGUGUGUCUUCGUCCAUGCGUGUGUGUUUUUGCUUGCACGUGCCGGUCUGUAAAUAGUUAAAAAAAUACGUGGUCAUUCAUUAUGAACAUCUAGACAAACAAUUUCCUUUAUUCUAGUCUUUUCUACCUGACUAAAACCGGAAAGUAUGAUCGUGUCUGUCUCAAGGAAUGGGUGAGUCUGAUCCCUCCCUUCUCCCUUUAAUCAUUAGCAGUGACACAGCGCGUGCGUCUGUCACUACGGUGAUGUCAGGAGCCCUGUUGCCAUAGGAACAGGACACAGACCUGUCGUGUCUCCUCAUACAAAGACCGCAUAGAAUGGAUUCCGAUGGAAUGGUGGCCAUGUUUAUCAUCAUUAUUAUUGAUCUAUAAUCAUCAUUAUGAUCUCUACAUGUAGAAUAAGAGUGAGUUACCUUUGGGGUUUAGGCCUAUAAUUGUAUGGUUCCAUGCUGCAGACAAUGGCACUUUGGCCUGGGAAGGUCCAUGCACGAUACAUGAGCUAAAUUUUACUUGAAGGGUCUUUUAUCAAUAAUGUUAAUCAUUUCAUAUGUUAUUUUAUAAAUGAUCUUAGCAACCAAGAACAGCAUUGGCAUGAUGUUUUGCAUGGAUUUUUGCAUGGAUUUUGUAUGUCUUUCAAAGGCGAAGGCAGCUGCUUUCCCUUUUUGCCGGUGGUUAAGCCUCCAAACACCUGCUGAUUUGAAUGAUGGAGACGUCACAGCAGACAGGAACCAGCAGAACCACAGUGAGGGACAGAAAGAGACCAACGAGAGAAGACCUCCCACCACUGAGACAAAGAGGCAGCUCAUAUCCUCUGUCUGUAAAGGCUAUUGAUUCUGUGAGUGUGUGUGUGUGUGUGUGUGUAUAGGAUUUGUGAGUGUGUGUACGUUUGGGAGUGUGUAUGUUUGCGAGUGUGUGUAUGUGGGAUUUUGCGAGUGUGUGUAUACGUUUGCGAGUGUGUGUACGUGUGUGUGUUUCUGUGUGUGUGUACGUUUGGGAGUGUGUGUGCGUGUAGGCUAUGUUCUUUUGCGCACGCGUGCGUGUGUGCAUGUGUUUGUGUGUGUGUGUGAUCCGUAUGUCUACCUUAUUGUAGAUGUUUGUACACUAGUGUUUGUGGGGUGAGUUGGGGAGGCAGUGAUUGGAAGCAGGGUUCAUGAAAGGAUAGUCAGUGAGGAAACAGUCUAGAAAAGCAGGGAUGGACAGGGUUUAAGGAUAUGCCGAAUGGCACAUAUUAGAGGGUCCUGGACAUUAGGGAGGAGGCAUCUUCAGAACCCAUUCAGCUGUAACGUUAUCUCCCUUUAUCAUUUUUUCAUGCUGCCUAUUCCUUCCUGAUACUUAUUGUUUGCCCAGGCAAGAAUCCAGCAUUAUAUCACAUCUGUAUCAUAUUGAAAAUUUGGCUCAUUGAGCAUUACUCAAUCCAUCCCUAUUCCCCCCUCUGUACAAAUAUUGAGCUUCCUCCAAAAAUCUGAACGUGGAGGCAGGAGUGGCAGCUGGUGUCAUCAGGAUUCAGGGGGGCAGACGAAGGUACACAACACACCUACAAGUAUUGAUAUCGCCGGCCCAAUGGAGGAUGAACAUCUAGGAACGCGUGUUCCUGGGUUAGGUGCAUUAAGCAGCCUUUAACUCUCAUCUUUAUGGUGACGCUAGGCUAUGACAUAAAUUGACAUUUAAAUUAAAUAUCAGAAAUUCGUAUAACUUCUGUAUUCAUUCCGUUUUCUCUAAAGGGAAGUUGCAGUUUAAAACCGGGAAACAAUCUUAUGUUUUUGACAUUUGAAGAAAUGUCAAAGGAGGAUUUGUAAAACCACGAAUAAAUGCUAUGAAUUAGUCUGCGAAUCUACCUUUCUAGCAGUAGGGGGCAGAAUAAACCUGCAACUUGCUGCUUCUUGAAAUAACCAGCAAUGAAAUGCGUCUCAGCGACAGCUGUGGGAAGUAGGUUAGAGGCAAGUUGGACGAGUUGCCAGGCGUGCGUACACACACACAUACAGACACACAGACACACAGACACACAGACACACAGACACACAGACACAGUCUGACACACACACAGAGUUCCUUUUUUGGAGGCGGACCAGUUGUCAAAAGCAAAGCUUACUUGUUGAAAUCCGCAACAUAAGAGUGUAACAACAGAACAGUUGAUCCGACAGACGACAAUCUGCAAGUUCCCCGAUUCAUUCUGGAGUGGAAUGAGAACAAUAACACCAGAACUAACAUCAGGAUAUUACAUCAAAUACAGUAUGGUGCAUUGAUUCACCACCUGUUUUCCCUCAUUAUGUCAAUCAAAACUCUAUUUGGCUAAAUGGAACCAGAUAGCAAUUAUUCAUCUAAAGAACAACAGGACAAACCAACAACAUUGUGAAGACAUCAUCUCGCUGAGUGGGAGCUCGCGGAGCGAGAAGGAGAACGCAACAGGACAAUGGGGGCCAAUUACCCAGUCCACAGGAACAACAAACAAAAUGAACGCAACAUAAUAGAGUCCCAGUCUGAAUUGGACCCGCGUAAUAACAAACAGACGAACAGCAAGUUAGAAAGCAGAGCGCGUAAAUGGGAAAGACGUUAUGUGAUUGGUGCGCUCCCGUUACUCCACACUGUAGGACACUCAAGCCUGGCUCUCACGGACCUGGAGAGGAAAACGCGUAUUAAAGAAGGUAAUAAGCCCAGGCGACUGCACCUGUGAGACGCGGCUGCAGACAGAAUCUAAAAAAGGCUUUUAGUGUGGAGAGGAGCACGUCAACACCGGCGACACCUCCUCAGCUGAAGCGCGUGAACCUGGUAUGACCUCAGCCCCUGUGAAGACCGCGCCACCUGAUCCACGAUGUCCUCUCGUCUCGUUCAGACGUCUGUAUGAGCGACGGGAUUUUUUGAGAACGCUAGGAGAACAGAUCAGCCGACCCUGGUGUGUGAUGUGAGGGAGGGAGGAAGAGCUGCUGGCUGCUCAGUGCGUGAGGACGAACGCAGACGCUUAUGAUCCACACAGGCCUCCUGGCUGUUGAGUGUGUGCCUCAGAGAGAGAGAUAGAGUCAGAGAGAGCGAGAGAUAGCAUGCACGAGAG